rnacentral:rRNA from 1 species
CCUACGGGAGGCAGCAGUGAGGAAUAUUGGUCAAUGGGCGGGAGCCUGAACCAGCCAAGCCGCGUGAGGGAAGAAGGUACAGCGUAUCGUAAACCUCUUUUGUCAGGGAACAAAGGCGGGGACUAGUCCCCGGAUGAGUGUACCUGAAGAAAAAGCAUCGGCUAACCCCGUGCCAGCAGCCGCGGUAAUACGGAGGAUGCGAGCGUUAUCCGGAUUUAUUGGGGUUAAGGGGGGCGCAGGCGGCCUGUUAAGUCAGCGGGAAAAGCCCGGGGCUCAACCCCGGCGAGCGGUUGAAACUGGCGGGCUGGAGUUGGAGAGAGGGACGCGGAAUGCGCGGUGUAGCGGUGAAAUGCUUAGAUAUCGCGCAGAACCCCGAUUGCGAAGGCAGCGUACCGGCUCCACACUGACGCUGAGGCACGAAAGCGUGGGUAUCGAACAGGAUUAGAUACCCGUGUAGUC